rnacentral:rRNA from 1 species
GAUGAACGCUAGCUACAGGCUUAACACAUGCAAGUCGAGGGGCAGCACGGAGAUAGCUUGCUAUCUUGGGUGGCGACCGGCGCACGGGUGAGUAACGCGUAUCCAACCUGCCCAUUACUCUGGGAUAGCCUUGCGAAAGUAAGAUUAAUACCGGAUGUUGUUAAAAACCCGCAUGAGUUUUUAACCAAAGAUUUAUUGGUAAUGGAUGGGGAUGCGUGACAUUAGGUAGUUGGUGAGGUAACGGCUCACCAAGCCUACGAUGUCUAGGGGUUCGUGAGAGGAAGGUCCCCCACACUGGAACUGAGACACGGUCCAGACUCCUACGGGAGGCAGCAGUGAGGAAUAUUGGGCGAAUGGACGGAAGUCUGACCCAGCCAUGCCGCGUGCAGGAAGACGGCCCUAUGGGUUGUAAACUGCUUUUUUAGAGGAAUAAUAAGUCUCACGUGUGGACGAUGAAUGUACUUUAAGAAUAAGGAUCGGCUAACUCCGUGCCAGCAGCCGACGG